GCGGGGGUUGCCAAGCCUGGCCAACGGCGCAGGGCUUAGAAUGAGCCAGGUGGAUGAACUAGUGACUGGUUCCUAGAACCCUGUUUCUUAGGAAUUCGUGGGUUCGAAUCCCACCCCCCGCA
rnacentral:tRNA from 1 species